rnacentral:ribozyme from 1 species
AUUCAUUCAUGCAAUCAAGAAAAGAAAAAGAAAAAGAAGAAGAAAAAGGAAAAGAAAAAGGAGAAAGAGGGCGCUAGCUCUAUUCUUUUCUUUUUGGGCUCUUUGCUUUGCUCUUUCUCCUGAAUCCUG